GACAGAGGGUGCAAACGUUGUUCGGAAUUACUGGGCGUAAAGCGCGUGUAGGCAGCUCGGAAAGUCAGGUGUGAAAGCCCUGGGCUUAACCUAGGAAUUGCGCUUGAGACUGGAUAGCUUGGAGUGCGGCAGAGGGAGGUGGAAUUCCACGUGUAGCAGUGAAAUGCGUAGAGAUGUGGAGGAACACCGAUGGCGAAGGCAGCUCUCUGGGUCCCUACCGACGCUGGGGUGCGAAAGCAUGGGGAGCGAACAGG
rnacentral:rRNA from 1 species